rnacentral:rRNA from 1 species
CCUACGGGUGGCAGCAGUGAGGAAUAUUGGUCAAUGGGCUUACGCCUGAACCAGCCAAGUCGCGUGAGGGAAGACUGCCCUAUGGGUUGUAAACCUCUUUUGUCAGGGAGCAACGCCGGCUACGUGUAGCCGGACUGAGAGUACCUGAAGAAAAAGCAUCGGCUAACUCCGUGCCAGCAGCCGCGGUAAUACGGAGGAUGCGAGCGUUAUCCGGAGUUAUUGGGUUUAAAGGGUGCGUAGGCGGAAUGCCAAGUCAGCGGUAAAAUCGCGGGGCUCAACCCCGGCCUGCCGUCGGAACUGGGUGCCUUGAGUGGGCGAGAAGUAUGCGGAAUGCGUGGUGUAGCGGUGAAAUGCAUAGAUAUCACGCAGAACCCCGAUUGCGAAGGCAGCAUACCGGCGCCCUACUGACGCUGAGGCACGAAAGUGCGGGUAUCGAACAGGAUUAGAUACCCCUGGUAGUC